UACGUAGGGACCAAGCGUUGUUCGGAUUUACUGGGCGUAAAGGGCGCGUAGGCGGCGCGGUAAGUCACUUGUGAAAUCUCUGAGCUUAACUCAGAACGGCCAAGUGAUACUGCAGUGCUAGAGUGUGGAAGGGGCAAUCGGAAUUCUUGGUGUAGCGGUGAAAUGCGUAGAUAUCAAGAGGAACACCUGAGGUGAAGACGGGGUUGCUGGGCCAAACACUGACGCUGAUGCGCGAAAGCCAGGGGAGCAAACAGG
rnacentral:rRNA from 1 species